rnacentral:lncRNA from 1 species
AACCACGGUCCUGGAGUGAGAAGCCCCCCAUAGAUGCUGAGAGAUGUAGUUAUGUCCCGGAGCGACAAGCACCUGCACUGGAAACCAUCAGUCAUCGGACGCGUACCGGGGACUCUGGUCCGAGACGCUGUGGUUCUUUACGUGGUCCAUGUGCCUGUCCUCUCUUCCCGGUGUGGACAGAGGAUGCUGUGCUCAGAGAAAGGCCUGGCUGACUGGACAGUAGAAACAAGACCCUCGGGCCCGCUGGUUCAGCUCUCACUUCUGCAUCGUGAGGCGUCUCCCCCGUGUAAGAUCCAGCGGGCUUUGACACUCGAGGAAUGUCGUCACUGUUUUGGGGAGAGAAAUGACAGGUCUGUAGCCCUUUGGUGGAUAUAAAAAAAACCCGUGUCCACGAAUAAACUCAGCCAGUCGCCGGACUAGCCCAGACGUUCCUCAGAACCAUGUGAAAUCUGAAUAACUUGGCUCGACCACUUUGAAAUCACGUUGGAGAGCAAAGAAGAGUGUUUUUUUAAAAAUACUCUCUCCCAUGACUCGAAAAUAAAACACAAUUUUG